rfam:Nematostella vectensis strain CH2 x CH6 NEMVEscaffold_161_Cont16368, whole genome shotgun sequence.
GGGGAUGUCUCUCAGUGGUAGAGCGUCCGCUUCGCAUGCGGAAAGCCCAGGGUUCGAUCCCCCGCAUCUCCA